GACAGAGGGUGCAAGCGUUGUUCGGAAUUACUGGGCGUAAAGGGCGCGUAGGCGGUCCGCUAAGUUCGGCGUGAAAUCCCCUGGCUCAACUGGGGAACGGCGCUGGAUACUGGUGGACUCGAGUACCGGAGAGGAGGGUGGAAUUCCUGGUGUAGCGGUGAAAUGCGUAGAUAUCUGGAGGAACACCGGUGGCGAAGGCGGCGUCCUGGACCAAUACUGACACUGAUGAGCGAAAGCCAGGGGAGCAAACGGG
rnacentral:rRNA from 1 species